rnacentral:rRNA from 1 species
GACGAACGCUGGCGGCGUGCUUAACACAUGCAAGUCGAACGGAAAGGCCCCUUUGGGGGUACUCGAGUGGCGAACGGGUGAGUAACACGUGAGUAACCUGCCCUUGACUUCGGGAUAACUUCAGGAAACUGGGGCUAAUACCGGAUAGGAAUCCUUGCUGCAUGGUGGGGGUUGGAAAGCUUCGGCGGUUUUGGAUGGACUCGCGGCUUAUCAGCUUGUUGGUGGGGUAGUGGCUUACCAAGGCUUUGACGGGUAGCCGGCCUGAGAGGGCGACCGGCCACAUUGGGACUGAGAUACGGCCCAGACUCCUACGGGAGGCAGCAGUGGGGAAUAUUGCACAAUGGGCGGAAGCCUGAUGCAUCAACGCCGCGUGCGGGAUGACGGCCUUCGGGUUGUAAACCGCUUUCAGCAGGGGCGAAGCUUGUGGUGACGGUACCUGCAGAAGAAGCACCGGCUAACUACGUG